GUCAGUAUGGUGUAGUGGUUUGAGCAUUGGACUACGACUCUGGACUCUGGAGACAAAGGUUCAAAUCCUCAUUCGGCCA
rnacentral:tRNA from 1 species